CCUACGGGAGGCAGCAGUGGGGAAUAUUGCACAAUGGGGGAAACCCUGAUGCAGCGACGCCGCGUGAGUUAAGAAGUAUUUCGGUACGUAAAGCUCUAUCAGCAGGGAAGAAAAUGACGGUACCUGACUAAGAAGCCCCGGCUAACUACGUGCCAGCAGCCGCGGUAAUACGUAGGGGGCAAGCGUUAUCCGGAUUUACUGGGUGUAAAGGGAGCGUAGACGGCAGCGCAAGUCUGGAGGGAAAUCCCAUGGCUUAACCAUGGAACUGCUUUGGAAACUGUUCAGCUAGAGUGCAGGAGAGGUAAGCGGAAUUCCUAGUGUAGCGGUGAAAUGCGUAGAUAUUAGGAGGAACACCAGUGGCGAAGGCGGCUUACUGGACUGUAACUGACGUUGAGGCUCGAAAGCGUGGGGAGCAAACAGGAUUAGAUACCCUGGUAGUC
rnacentral:rRNA from 1 species